AUACAUUAGCAUCAUACUCAACCUCCAAAGGGUUAUCUUCAAGGAUGUCAGCAAGUAGAUGUAAUGAAGCAAGAGGAUCAUCCUCAGAUAGAGGAAUCUUCUCCUGUGCCUGCAUCUGUUGUUACAUGAAAAGGCUCGGGUUGAUUCUCGCCGCCAUCGCCCGGCGGCAAAGUGGUACCGCCCGGCGGUGAGUGGUACUCCCCAUAAACACCCAUCAGUAGGUGUUAAAUUUAUUCUCGCUUGGUAUUUUCUUCUUCUUCUUCUUUAUGCUAAAUCUCUUCAAAAAGUUGAUCGACCCAAGCACAUGUUUCCAUACAUCAAUCAUAGGAACCUUAAUCUCCAAUUUCGUGAAGAUCUCCAUGAAGUACUUGAACCUAUUUUCCUUCCUAUGAUUUUUCUUUUUAUGAGGAAGGGGUUUUUCACAUGACCUUUUCUUCUUUCCUCUCUUCCUUUUUUUCUUAAUUUUCUCCUUCCUUAACUUUCUUUUUUUCUUUUUCUUUGCUUUCUUUAUGUUAACAUUUUUUUUCUUUUUUUCUUCUCUUUCAACCACUGCUUUUCCUUUCUCAUCAUCCUUCUCACUCUCAUUCAACUUUUCUGUUUCUAUCUCCUUGAUGGGUGUCGCGGCCCAUACAAAUUUAAUUGCAAUUUAGAAAUGCAGUAUAAUGCUAGGGAAUGACCCCUAGGUCGUCUCUCAAGGACCAACUGCGGUUCAGAGUCAAGUCUAACACAAAAGGGGGGGGUUUCCAAAGUGUUUUUGCGAAUGCGAAUAACUAAAUUAAAACAAAUGGACAUUAAACUCAACUGAGUAAGUUAGAAAACAUCAAGGUAAAAUAAAAUUCUAAUCCCAACAUUUCAACAAACAAUUAUCUAAACACAAGUAAAACUAUAAAAUGCAACACUAAAUUAGAGACAUCAAAAGCAACUAAUCCUACUAUGUAAAUUAAUGCAAAACAAAGGGGUAAUUUAAACAUGCUUUUUAAUCCAUCAAUUAUGUGACCAAUAUUCAUCUACCAAAUGAAAUUAAAAGUGCAAUUAGCUUGAGAAAACCCCCUUGGGCCGUGAGCUCCUAGUCCACCAAGGCCCAACUUCAAUUCUUGACUUUCUUCCUUAAAUGAAUCAUGCAAGAUGUGUUGACUCUUUGUCUCAUAUGCACCAAACUGCAAGACAACAAUCAUGUGCCUUCUAUAUCAUUCAAAACCGUCACCCACUACUUGCAUGUAGCAAAAUAAAAUGGAAACCAUGCUAAGGGACGAAAUUCACGUGAAAAAUGGCAAUGUUGGGUGCAAGGAAUGCUUCUAAAAAGUCCACAAGUCAAAGGGUGCUUUAAUCUCUUCUUUCAAGAUGCCACAUGUGCAAAGUCAAGGCAAUGGAAAACAAUCACAAUAACCUCCAUUCCUCAAGCAUCUCACGGCAAUGUGCUAGCAAAAGGCAAGACCAAAAUGGAAAUCUUCAUUCUAAGAAAAUGUGGUCAUACUAUGCUGGGCCAAAUCGGGGAAAAAAUUAAAUGAAGCAUUCUUUCUCCUUGCACCACUCUUUUUUUGGUUUUUCUUCAACAAGCAACAUUCAAAUUGUUCCUUCCAUUCUCCAUUACCGAGAACACAAAAAGAAACCCAAGUUCAAAUGCAAAUUAACACAAGCAUAUCAAAACCAAGUUCCACCUUCAUAAAUCCAACUUCACCACUCACUUUGCUUCAACUUUUUGACCAAAACAAAACCAAACCUUUACCUUCCCUUGCAUUACCGUCCAGCCACCAUCAACAAUAACAAGGUCCAGCUCAAAAUAUGCUUCCAAACAUCAAAAAGAAAAUACUAGAAGAAAAUGGUUCAAGAACCCAAUACCCAUGUACCAACUUAAGCCUUUUUCACUACCAAACUUGACAACAACUCCAUUUUCAUCCUCCAAACCAAGAAACUCAAGAUAAAUUCAAAUUCACUGCAGCAAAAUGAUGAGAAAACCGAAAUGAACAAUGGGUCUCCCUUCCAUUAAAGAAACCACCAUGAAAAAGCAAAGAAGAAGCUCCAAACUCAACCAUUCAACCUUCAAAAUGAAAAUCUAAAGAGAGAAAUGGUAGAGCUUCAUUCCAUCAAUCAAGAACAAGCAUUGUUGAAAAAAUUAGAAGAAGAAAAACUUGAUCUUUAUCCAUUCAAGCAUCAAAAACGAAAAUGGCACCCAAGGCUCCCAAGAGAGAGUUUAUACAUGCAAAGGCUAAAGCAAAAGUGUGGAAUGUAGAGAGUUGUAGUGAGUGUCUCGGCAAUUUGCCCUAAACAAUGCCUUCCCCCCUUCAAAAUAGGUGGGGUCCACCUCCUAAAAGAAAUCGUAGGGUUAGGCCAAGUGUCCCACCAUUGAGCUUCUACAAAAUUUGCCAGAAAAGGGCCCAAAUGCACUUAGUCUAAUUAAAGUUUCUAAAAAAAACGAAAAUACAACUUUAUAAAAAUGGAAAUGGCUAAAUGUUGAGUCUUGAAUAAUUAUCCCACCAUCCCUAAUGCUCCAAUUUAUGUUUCCCAAAAUUUCCCUGCAACCAAAAUACACUUAAUCUGCUCAGAAAACCCAAAUUAGCACAAUUACAAAUUUCCGACCAAAUUAAGCAGAAUUCGGAAAACGGGGAAAUAACAGACAAUUAAACACAAUUCCCUGGUUUAUUUAAGUGCAAUAAACUAAAUAUAGUUCAAGAAAUAACCACUCAUCACUCCUCUAUCCUUUCCGCAGCAACAACUUUUUCUGUUUUUAUUUCCUCUUUCUUUUCUUCCUUUAUUUUCUCCUCAUAUAUCUGUAGCUCUUCUUCUUCUAUUUUUUCCUCUUCAAUAACCUUAUCAUUUUUAGAGAUAGUGGCUUGACAUUCUUCUUGAGGGAUAACUUCAGUAUUAUCCCUAAUAAUGCCCAGAGACUUCAAAACCUUUGUUAUCUCAUCUUCCUCUAUCUUCUUUUCAUCAAUAACCUUGUCAUCCUCAAAGAUAGUAACUUGGCAUUCUUCUUUAGGGUUAACUUCAGUAUUAACCCCAAUAAUACCCAGAGCUUUCAACGCAUAAGAGUGUUGUUCAUGCAAUAAACGUUCUUUAGCUUCCCCC
rnacentral:lncRNA from 1 species